CACGGGGGGAGCAAGCGUUGUUCGGAAUCACUGGGCGUAAAGGGCGUGUAGGCGGUCAGGUAAGUGAGAUGUGAAAUGCCCCGGCUCACCCGGGGACCGGCAUCUCAUACUGCUUGGCUUGAGUACGGGAGAGGAUGUGGGAAUUCCUGGUGUAGCGGUGAAAUGCGUAGAUAUCAGGAGGAACACCGGUGGCGAAGGCGCACAUCUGGCCCGAUACUGACGCUGAGGCGCGAAAGCUAGGGGAGCGAACAGG
rnacentral:rRNA from 1 species